UUCCGGUUGAUCCUGCCRGACCCGACUGCUAUCAGAGUGGGACUAAGCCAUGCGAGUCGACACAGCAAUGUGUGGCAUACGGCUCAGUAACACGUAGUCAACAUGCCCAGGGGACGUGGAUAACCUCGGGAAACUGAGGAUAAACCGCGAUAGGUCACUACUUCUGGAAUGGGUAAUGACCCAAACCUAUAUGGCCCCUGGAUUGGACUGCGGCCGAUCAGGCUGUUGGUGAGGUAAUGGCCCACCAAACCUGUAACCGGUACGGGCUCUGAGAGGAGGAGCCCGGAGAUGGGCACUGAGACAAGGGCCCAGGCCCUAUGGGGCGCAGCAGGCGCGAGACCUCUGCAAUAGGCGAAAGCUUGACAGGGUUACUCUGGGUGAUUUCCGUUAAGGAGAUCUUUUGGCACCUCUAAAAAUGGUGCAGAAUAAGGGGUGGGCAAGUCUGGUGUCAGCCGCCGCGGUAAUACCAGCACCCCGAGUGGUCGGGACGUUUAUUGGGCCUAAAGCAUCCGUAGCCGGUUCUACAAGUCUUCCGUUAAAUCCACCUGCUCAACAGAUGGGCUGCGGAAGAUACUAUGGAGCUAGGAGGCGGGAGAGGCAAGCGGUACUCGAUGGGUAGGGGUAAAAUCCGUUGAUCCAUUGAAGACCACCAGUGGCGAAGGCGGCUUGCCAGAACGCGCUCGACGGUGAGGGAUGAAAGCUGGGGGAGCAAACCGGAUUAGAUACCCGGGUAGUCCCAGCUGUAAACGAUGCAGACUCGGUGAUGAGUUGGCUUUAUGCCAACUCAGUGCCGCAGGGAAGCCGUUAAGUUUGCCGCCUGGGGAGUACGGUCGCAAGACUGAAACUUAAAGGAAUUGGCGGGGGAGCACCACAAGGGGUGAAGCCUGCGGUUCAAUUGGAKUCAACGCCGGR
rnacentral:rRNA from 1 species